GUGCCAGCCGCCGCGGUAAUACGUAGGGUGCGAGCGUUGUCCGGAAUUACUGGGCGUAAAGAGCUCGUAGGUGGUUUGUCGCGUUGUUCGUGAAAUCUCACGGCUUAACUGUGAGCGUGCGGGCGAUACGGGCAGACUGGAGUUCUGCAGGGGAGACUGGAAUUCCUGGUGUAGCGGUGGAAUGCGCAGAUAUCAGGAGGAACACCGGUGGCGAAGGCGGGUCUCUGGGCAGUAACUGACGCUGAGGAGCGAAAGCUGGGGAGCGAACAGGAUUAGAUACCCUCGUAGUCCACGCCGUAAACGGUGGGUACUAGGUGUGGGUUUCCUUCCUUGGGAUCCGUGCCGUAGCUAACGCAUUAAGUACCCCGCCUGGGGAGUACGGCCGCAAGCUAAAACUCAAAGGAAUUGACGGGGGCCCGCACAAGCGGCGGAGCAUGUGGAUUAAUUCGAUGCAACGCGAAGAACCUUACCUGGGUUUGACAUGCACAGGACGCCGGCAGAGAUGUCGGUUCCCUUGUGGCCUGUGUGCAGGUGGUGCAUGGCUGUCGUCAGCUCGUGUCGUGAGAUGGUUGGGUUAAGUCCCGCAACGAGCGCAACCCUUUUCUCAUGUUGCCAGCGGGUAAUGCCGGGGACUCGUGAGAGACUGCUGGGGUCAACUCGGAGGAAGGUGGGGAUGACGUCAAGUCAUCAUGCCCCUUAUGUCCAGGGCUUCACACAUGCUACAAUGGCCGGUACAAAGGGCUGCGAUGCCGCGAGGUUAAGCGAAUCCUUUUAAAGCCGGUCUCAGUUCGGAUCGGGGUCUGCAACUCGACCCCGUGAAGUCGGAGUCGCUAGUAAUCGCAGAUCAGCAACGCUGCGGUGAAUACGUUCCCGGGCCUUGCACACACCGCCCGUCAAUCCC
rnacentral:rRNA from 1 species